UUAAAGUUUUAUUUUGGCUUUAUAUUUUGUUGUAAAUAUAUUUUAUAUGUAAGUUUUUGCGAGAAUUUUUAUUUAUUUUAAUAAUAAAUAAAAUAUAAAAUAAAUAAUCUCAGUAAUUAGUUUUAUUAAUCAAGGAAAUUUGGAAAUAGUAAUUUUUAUUAGUAUUGGUUAAAUUUGUGCCAGCAGCCGCGGUUAUACAAAUAAUACAAAUAAAAUUUGUUUAGUGAAAGUUAAUAUAUAAAAAUUAAAAUAUAUUUAAAUUUAUUAGGUGAAAUUUUAAAUUUAUACAUUUUUAAGAUUUUGAGUUUAUGAAGCUUAUAAAUUUUAAUUAAAAACUAGGAUUAGAUACCCUAUUAUUUAAAAUGUAAAAGUAAACAUUAAAGUAGUAUUAGUUAUGUUCUUGAAACUUAAAAAAUUUGGCGGUAUUUUAUUCUAUUCAGAGGAACCUGUCCUGUAAUUGAUAAUCCACGAUGUACCUCACUUAAAUUUGUUUUUCAGUUUAUAUACCGUCGUUAUUAGAAUAUUUUAUUAGAAUAAUAAUUUUCAAUAAUUUCAAUUAAAAUUUAUAUCAGAUCAAGGUGUAGCUUAUAUUUAAGAAGAGAUGGGUUACAAUAAAUUUAUUUAAACGGAUUUAAUUUUUAAAUAUUUUAAUGAAGGUGGAUUUGAUAGUAAAAAUUAAAAGAUUAUAGUUUUGAUUUUAGUUUUAAAAUAUGCACACAUCGCCCGUCACUCUUAUUAUUAAGGUAAGAUAAGUCGUAACAUAGUAGAUGUACCGGAAGGUGUAUCUAGAAUGA
rnacentral:ncRNA from 1 species